UCCGUAGGUGAACCUGCGGGGGGGCUACUGAGGUUUCGCUCUACACCCUUUGUGACAUACCUAUAACUGUUGCUUCGGCGGGUAGGGUCCCCGUGACCCUCCCGGCCUCCCGCCCCCGGGCGGGUCGGCGCCCGCCGGAGGAUAACCAAACUCUGAUUUAACGACGUUUCUUCUGAGUGGUACAAGCAAAUAAUCAAAACUUUUAACAACGGAUCUCUUGGUUCUGGCAUCGAUGAAGAACGCAGCGAAAUGCGAUAAGUAAUGUGAAUUGCAGAAUUCAGUGAAUCAUCGAAUCUUUGAACGCACAUUGCGCCCGCCAGCAUUCUGGCGGGCAUGCCUGUUCGAGCGUCAUUUCAACCCUCAAGCUCUGCUUGGUGUUGGGGCCCUACAGCUGAUGUAGGCCCUCAAAGGUAGUGGCGGACCCUCCCGGAGCCUCCUUUGCGUAGUAACUUUACGUCUCGCACUGGGAUCCGGAGGGACUCUUGCCGUAAAACCCCCCAAUUUUCCAAAGGUUGACCUCGGAUCAGGUAGGAAUACCCGCUGAACUUAAGCAUAUCAAUAAGCGGAGGAAGCAUAUCAAUAAGCGGAGGA
rnacentral:rRNA from 1 species